rnacentral:lncRNA from 1 species
UGAAAUAAAUGAAAUUUGAAAUUGAAAUUUGAAAUAUGCUGAGUUAGGCAACUUUGGCUUUUUCGACGAUUCGUGACAUUAAUGAACACAGAAGUACGUACCUAAGUGGCUAAACCACGAUGAUUAUGGACAAAACAGAUUGCCCUAUCAAAGGAAGAAGAACGAGCAGUGAGGAAUACUCUGGAGCAGGUCGGUUUGGGGGGAGAGUAUAUAGACAUGUAUAAUGAAAUGCUAAAGGCCAGUCAAGAUUCUUCCGGAUCAAUUGAGACAGGCGAUGAAAUUGGAUUUGCGACCGACCUUAGAAGACUUAAGGCCAUCGCUGGUCAUCGUCGAUCUAACCGCAUGAGUUCAUCAACGAAUAACAGACGGGUACGAUCCCAAGCUCUCCGUAGACGAAAACUGAACAGCCAGGGUCUAAAAAGCCAUAAUGAACAUUCGAGGCACUCGACCAU